CGCCGGAACUGGGGGGGGGGGAGCAGGAGGGGCAGCCGCCCCCAUUGCCCCUUACCAGGUGGGGCAAGGGGGGCAAAGGUGCCCUUUCAAUUUAAAGGAUUGCCUGGGCGAAAUAGCAAAUUGUCAGAAAUGUUAGUGCAAUUCUUUUACGAAUUUGCUUCAGAAAACGCAAGAAAUGCAGUCAUUGAGCUUCAAGAAUAGCACAAUCGCCUGGCGGAGAACCCCCUCACAC